rnacentral:rRNA from 1 species
UACGAAGGGGGCUAGCGUUGUUCGGAAUUACUGGGCGUAAAGCGCACGUAGGCGGAUUGUUAAGUGAGGGGUGAAAUCCCAGGGCUCAACCCUGGAACUGCCUUUCAUACUGGCAAUCUCGAGUCCGAGAGAGGUGAGUGGAAUUCCGAGUGUAGAGGUGAAAUUCGUAGAUAUUCGGGAGGAACACCAGUGGCGAAGGCGGCUCACUGGCUCGGUACUGACGCUGAGGUGCGAAAGCGUGGGGAGCAAACAGG